ensembl:lncRNA
UUGAAGUUCUCUGACUGGCCUCGACUGAAGAUGGUCGUCUCACUGGAUUUAAGAUGCACAAUGAGGGACGUCUGCAGAGACUGAGAAAGAGUCUCACCACAUCCUGACAUGAGGAAAAAGACUUUAUUGAAGACUACAAUGAGAAAAACUAUCAGACAGCAGACGGCUGCAUUCAAGUCUGUAGCUGCUGAAUUCAUGGAUGAAUCAUCUGGCACUAGAGAAGAAGACCAUCAAACAUCCAUGUCAGCUGAUGGAGGUCCAAGAGUCUCACCAAACAAACAACCUACAGAGUGAAGACCUCAAAUCUGAUUGGACGGCCUCCUAUUCAGCCACUUGUGUGAACAAAUGCCUCUAAGCUGAUUUGUUUUCUAAAAUAAAUC